rnacentral:rRNA from 1 species
GAUGAACGCUAGCUACAGGCUUAACACAUGCAAGUCGAGGGGAAACGGCAUUAAGUGCUUGCACUUUUUGGACGUCGACCGGCGCACGGGUGAGUAACGCGUAUCCAACCUUCCCAUGACUAAGGGAUAACCUGCCGAAAGGCAGACUAAUACCUUAUGGUCUUCACUGACGGCAUCAGAUGUGAAGUAAAGAUUUAUCGGUUAUGGAUGGGGAUGCGUCUGAUUAGCUUGUUGGCGGGGUAACGGCCCACCAAGGCAACGAUCAGUAGGGGUUCUGAGAGGAAGGUCCCCCACAUUGGAACUGAGACACGGUCCAAACUCCUACGGGAGGCAGCAGUGAGGAAUAUUGGUCAAUGGGCGAGAGCCUGAACCAGCCAAGUAGCGUGCAGGAUGACGGCCCUAUGGGUUGUAAACCGCUUUUGUAUGGGGAUAAAGUCAGUCACGUGUGAUUGUUUGCAGGUACCAUACGAAUAAGGACCGGCUAAUUCCGUGCCAGCAGCCGCGGUAAUACGGAAGGUCCGGGCGUUAUCCGGAUUUAUUGGGUUUAAAGGGAGCGUAGGCUGGAGAUUAAGUGUGUUGUGAAAUGUAGACGCUCAACGUCUGACUUGCAGCGCAUACUGGUUUCCUUGAGUACGCACAACGUUGGCGGAAUUCGUCGUGUAGCGGUGAAAUGCUUAGAUAUGACGAAGAACUCCGAUUGCGAAGGCAGCUGACGGGAGCGCAACUGACGCUGAAGCUCGAAGGUGCGGGUAUCGAACAGG